AUUGAACGCUGGCGGCAUGCCUUACACAUGCAAGUCGAACGGCAGCGGACCUUCGGGUGCCGGCGAGUGGCGAAGGGGUGAGUAAUGCAUCGGAACGUACCUUUCAGUGGGGGAUAACGUAGCGAAAGUUACGCUAAUACCGCAUAUUCUGUGAGCAGGAAAGCAGGGGAUCGCAAGACCUUGCGCUGAGUGAGCGGCCGAUGUCAGAUUAGCUAGUUGGUGAGGUAAAGGAACACCAAGGCGACAAUCGGUAGCGGGUCUGAGAGGAUGAUCCGCCACACUGGAACUGAGACACGGUCCAGACUCCUACGGGAGGCAGCAGUGGGGAAUUUUGGACAAUGGGGGCAACCCUGAUCUAGCCAUGCCGCGUGAGUGAAGAAGGCCUUCGGGUCGUAAAGCUCUUUCGGCCGGGAAGAAAUCGCACGGGCUAAUACCCUGUGUGGAUGACGGUACCGGAAUAAGAAGCACCGGCUAACUACGUGCCAGCCGCCGCAGUAACAC
rnacentral:rRNA from 1 species